rnacentral:rRNA from 1 species
UAAACUAGGAUUAGAUACCCUAUUAUAUUAAAGUUAAAUUUAUAAAUACUGAAUUAUUAAUAGAUAUUUCUUAAAAUUUAAAGAAUUUGGCGGUAAUUUAGUCUUGUCAGAGGAACCUGUUUUUUAAUCGAUACACCACGUUAUAUCUUACUUAUUUUAAAUGGUUUGUAUACCAUCAUUAACAGGUAAUUUUAAAAGAAAAAAUUAUUAAAAUUAAAUAUAUUAAAAAAAUUAGAUCAAGGUGCAGCUUAUAAAUAAGUUAAAAUGGGUUACAAUAAAACUUAUUUAUACGAAAUAAUUUAAGAAAUUAAAUUAUAAAGGUGGAUUUGAUUGUAAUAUAGGCUUAGUAAGCAUAUAAGAUACAAGCUCUAAAUUAUGUACACAUCGCCCGUCACUCUCA